AUACUGAUGAUGAAACAGCACAGUAUUUUGUGAGAGAGACGAAAUUUACUGACAAGACCAUACAGUAUUACACAUAAAACUGAAGUAU